rnacentral:rRNA from 1 species
GGGGAAUCUUCCGCAAUGGGAGAAAGCCUGACGGAACAAGACCGCGUGAGGGAGGAAGGUUCUUGGGUUGUAAACCUCUUUUGUCAGGGAAGAACACAAUGACGGUACCUGAAGAAUCAGCAUCGGCUAACUCCGUGCCAGCAGCCGCGGUAAUACGGAGGAUGCGAGCGUUAUCCGGAAUUAUUGGGCGUAAAGCGUCCGCAGGUGGCACUUCAAGUCUGCUGUCAAAGACCGGGGCUUAACCCUGUAAAGGCAGUGGAAACUGAAGCGCUAGAGUGUGGCAGGGGUAGAGGGAAUUCCCGGUGUAGCGGUGAAAUGCGUAGAGAUCGGGAAGAACAUCGGUGGCGAAAGCGCUCUACUGGGCCAUAACUGACACUGAGGGACGAAAGCUAGGGGAGCGAAAGGGAUUAGAUACCCCUGUAGUC